AACGAACGCUGGCGGCAGGCCUAACACAUGCAAGUCGAGCGAGGACUUCGGUUCUAGCGGCGGACGGGUGAGUAACGCGUGGGAAUGUGCCCUUCUCUGCGGAAUAGCCCUGGGAAACUGGGAGUAAUACCGUAUACGCCCUAUUGGGGAAAGAUUUAUCGGAGAAGGAUCAGCCCGCGUUGGAUUAGGUAGUUGGUGGGGUAAUGGCCUACCAAGCCGACGAUCCAUAGCUGGUUUGAGAGGAUGAUCAGCCACACUGGGACUGAGACACGGCCCAGACUCCUACGGGAGGCAGCAGUGGGGAAUCUUAGACAAUGGGGGCAACCCUGAUCUAGCCAUGCCGCGUGAGUGAUGAAGGCCUUAGGGUUGUAAAGCUCUUUCAGCUGGGAAGAUAAUGACGGUACCAGCAGAAGAAGCCCCGGCUAACUCCGUG
rnacentral:rRNA from 1 species